rnacentral:rRNA from 1 species
AUAUCAAUAAGCGGAGGAAAAGAAACCAACAGGGAUUGCCCCAGUAACGGCGAGUGAAGCGGCAACAGCUCAAAUUUGAAAUCUGGCCCUUACGGGGUCCGAGUUGUAAUUUGUAGAGGAUGCUUCGGCGUUGGCCCCGGGAUAGGUCCUUUGGAACAGGGCGCCGUAGAGGGUGAGAGCCCCGUACUCGCCCGGACGGCCCUCGCCAUGUGAAGCUCCCUCGACGAGUCGAGUUGUUUGGGAAUGCAGCUCUAAGCGGGAGGUAAAUUUCUUCUAAAGCUAAAUACCGGCCAGAGACCGAUAGCGCACAAGUAGAGUGAUCGAAAGAUGAAAAGCACUUUGGAAAGAGAGUUAAAAAGCACGUGAAAUUGUUGAAAGGGAAGCUCUUGCCGCCAGACUUGCCGCGGUUGCUCAGCCGUCCUUCUCGGUCGGUGCACUCUUCCGCGGCAGGCCAGCGUGAGUUUGGGCGGCCGGAUAAAGGCCCCGGGAAUGUAGCCUCUCUCGGGGGGUGUUAUAGCCUGGGGUGCAAUGCGGUCAGCCCGGUCUGAGGAUCGCGCUCGCGAGGACGCUGGCGUAAUGGCUGCAAGCGACCCGUCUUGAAACACGGACCAAGGAGUCUAACAUCUGUGCGAGUGUUUGGGUGUCAAACCCAUGCGCGCAAUUAAAGUGAACGGAGGUGGGAACCCCCUCGAGGGGCGCACCAUCGACCGAUCCUGAUGUCUUCGGAUGGAUUUGAGUAAGAGCAUAGCUGUUGGGACCCGAAAGAUGGUGAACUAUACCUGGAUAGGGUGAAGCCAGAGGAAACUCUGGUGGAAGCCCGCAGCGGUUCUGACGUGCAAAUCGAUCGUCAAAUUUGGGUAUAGGGGCGAAAGACUAAUCGAACCAUCUAGUAGCUGGUUCCUGC